rnacentral:misc_RNA from 1 species
UCCGAGUUGUCCCCGGCAGUCCCCUUAGAGUCCCCGGCAUUACCCGCUGGCAACUAAGGGCAGGGGUUGCGCUCGUUGCGGCACUUAAGCCAACACCUCACGGCACGAGCUGACGACAGCCAUGCAGCACCUGUGCUAGCCCCAAAAGGACACGGGCUUUCACCCGCUUUACCCUGCAUGUCAAGCCCAGGUAAGGUGGGGAUGACGUUUAGGAGCUCGAC